rnacentral:rRNA from 1 species
UACGGAGGGGGCUAGCGUUGUUCGGAAUCACUGGGCGUAAAGCGCACGUAGGCCGACGGUUAAGUCGGGGGUGAAAGCCUGGAGCUCAACUCCAGAACUGCCUCCGAUACUGGUCGUCUUGAGUCCGAGAGAGGUGAGUGGAAUUCCCAGUGUAGAGGUGAAAUUCGUAGAUAUUGGGAAGAACACCAGUGGCGAAGGCGGCUCACUGGCUCGGUACUGACGCUGAGGUGCGAAAGCGUGGGGAGCAAACAGG